rnacentral:rRNA from 1 species
UACGUAGGGUGCAAGCGUUAAUCGGAAUUACUGGGCGUAAAGCGUGCGCAGGCGGUUUUGUAAGUCUGUCGUGAAAUCCCCGGGCUCAACCUGGGAAUUGCGAUGGAGACUGCAAGGCUAGAAUCUGGCAGAGGGGGGUAGAAUUCCACGUGUAGCAGUGAAAUGCGUAGAGAUGUGGAGGAACACCGAUGGCGAAGGCGGCCCCCUGGGUCAAGAUUGACGCUCAUGCACGAAAGCGUGGGGAGCAAACAGG